UACAGAGGGGGCGAGCGUUGUUCGGAAUUACUGGGCGUAAAGGGCGCGUAGGCGGCCAACUAAGUCCGACGUGAAAUCCCUCGGCUCAACCGGGGAACUGCGUCUGAUACUGGAUGGCUUGAAUUCGGGAGAGGGAUGCGGAAUUCCAGGUGUAGCGGUGAAAUGCGUAGAUAUCUGGAGGAACACCGGUGGCGAAGGCGGCAUCCUGGACCGAGAUUGACGCUGAUGCGCGAAAGCCAGGGGAGCAAACGGG
rnacentral:rRNA from 1 species